rnacentral:rRNA from 1 species
CAAUAGCGUAUAUUAAAGUUGUUGCAGUUAAAAAGCUCGUAGUUGGAUUUCUGGUAGGAGUGACCGUUCCGAACUUGAUUGUUCGUGUAUUGUGUUUUCUCCAGCCAUCCUUGUGGAGAACUUUUCUUGCAUUAAUUUGUAGGGAUUGGGACCCGCAUCGUUUACUGUGAAAAAAUUAGAGUGUUUAAAGCAGGCAAUCGCUUGAAUACAUUAGCAUGGAAUAAUAAGAUAGGACUUUGGUACUAUUUCGUUGGUUUGCAUACCAAAUUAAUGAUCAACAGGAACAGUUUGAGGAUAUUCGUAUGAACAUGUCAGAGGUGAAAUUCUUGGAUUUUGAUCAGACGAACUACUGCGAAAGCAUUUAUCAAGGAUGUCUUCAUUAA